rnacentral:rRNA from 1 species
UACGUAGGGUGCGAGCGUUAAUCGGAAUCACUGGGCGUAAAGGGCGCGUAGGCGGGAUGGCAAGUCAGUCGUGAAAUCUCUCGGCUCAACCGAGAAACGUCGGCUGAUACUGCCGUUCUUGAGGGAUGCAGAGGAGACUGGAAUUCCCGGUGUAGCGGUGAAAUGUGUAGAGAUCGGGAGGAACACCGGUGGCGAAGGCGGGUCUCUGGGCAUCUCCUGACGCUGAGGCGCGAAAGCGUGGGGAGCAAACGGG